UGUUUUUAAUUUUUCCUGUUUUUUUAUUAAUUUUACAAGCAAUUUGUAUUGUUCUCAUUUUGCCAUUUUUGGAUCACUGGUAAUAUUCUUGUUCUUCUUGUUCGAGGCGAUGCUCUUUGACAAAACCCCAAGGCUCUGUCAUUACUUGUCCGAUUACUCACAUUACCGAUCUAAUACUUAGCAACUACAAAAUACUUUACUCCAAUACAAAGGUAAAC